CCUACGGGAGGCAGCAGUGGGGAAUAUUGGGCAAUGGGCGCAAGCCUGACCCAGCAACGCCGCGUGAAUGAAGAAGGCUUUCGGGUUGUAAACUUCUUUUCUCAGGGACGAAGCAAGUGACGGUACCUAACGAAUAAGCCACGGCUAACUGCGGGCCAGCAGCCGCGGUAAUACGUAGGAGGCAAGCGUUAACCGGGUUGACUGGGUGUAAAGGGCGUGUAGGCGGGGACGCAAGUCAGAUGUGAAAACCACGGGCUCAACCUGUGGCCUGCAUUUGAAACUGUGUGUCUUGAGUACUGGAGAGGCAGACGGAAUUCCUAGUGUAGCGGUGAAAUGCGUAGAUAUUAGGAGGAACACCAGUGGCGAAGGCGGUCUGCUGGACGGCAACUGACGCUGAGGCGCGAAAGCGUGGGGAGCAAACAGGAUUAGAUACCCUAGUAGUC
rnacentral:rRNA from 1 species